rnacentral:rRNA from 1 species
UACAGAGGGUGCGAGCGUUAAUCGGAUUUACUGGGCGUAAAGGGCGCGUAGGCGGUCAGAAGAGUGUGAUGUGAAAGCCCCGGGCUUAACCUGGGAAGUGCAUCGCAAACGCUCUGACUGGAGUAGAUGAGAGGGUGAUGGAAUUUCCGGUGUAGCGGUGAAAUGCGUAGAUAUCGGAAGGAACGUCAAUGGCGAAGGCAGUCACCUGGCAUCAUACUGACGCUGAGGCGCGAGAGCGUGGGUAGCGAACAGG